rnacentral:rRNA from 1 species
AUUGAACGCUGGCGGCAGGCCUAACACAUGCAAGUCGAACGAGUGGCGGACGGGUGAGUAAUGUCUGGGAAACUGCCUGAUGGAGGGGGAUAACUACUGGAAACGGUAGCUAAUACCGCAUACCAUCUUAUUUGCCCAGAUGGGAUUAGCUAGUAGGGGGGGUAAAGGCUCACCUAGGCGACGAUCCCUAGCUGGUCUGAGAGGUUGACCGGCAAAACUGGAACUGUGACAGGGUCCAGACUCCUACGGGAGGCAGCAGUGGGGAAUAUUGCACAAGGGGCGCAAGCCUGAUGAAUACAUGCCGCGUGUAUGAAGAAGGCCUUCGGGUUGUAAAGUACUUUCAGCGGGGAGGCGUUACCCGAAGAAGAAGCACCGGCUAACUCCGUGCCAGCAGCCGCGGUAAUAC